UACAGAGGGGGCAAGCGUUGUUCGGAAUUACUGGGCGUAAAGGGCGCGUAGGCGGCCUGCUAAGUCGAACGUGAAAUCCCCGAGCUCAACUCGGGAACUGCGUCCGAUACUGGUUGGCUUGAAUCCGGGAGAGGGAUGCGGAAUUCCAGGUGUAGCGGUGAAAUGCGUAGAUAUCUGGAGGAACACCGGUGGCGAAGGCGGCAUCCUGGACCGACACUGACGCUGAUGAGCGAAAGCCAGGGGAGCAAACGGG
rnacentral:rRNA from 1 species